UCUAUUCUCAUGAAUUGCUGCGGUUGCUGCCGAUUAACAUGAGAAUAAGGAUUUAAUGGGUUUAAUUAUGCAACUUGCGACUAAUUGAGGAACCGGAUGAAGAAGCAUUAAGAAGAGUUAUACUGCGUUUGGUUUAUAUGCUGUUGUAUUAAUUAGAUUAUUUUCUUUCCUCGUCUUUGUUAUUACAAGUUUGUAAGAGGGAUAGGAAUUGUAUGUUUUAUACGUAUAAUAUAUUGAAUUGUUAUGUAAGGAGUCUUGUAUAUGAAUCUAUGCAUGUUUGUAUUUUUCUUAAAAUAAAGUAUUUAUUUCUGGUUU